GUUUCAAGUACCUUUUUCAGGUACAGAAUUAAAAGGGAAUCCCGUGAGAAUCGGGAACAGUCCCGCUGCUGUAAGCUCCGUCCAAUGUCUGCGACAAAUACUUAUGCCACUGAUUAAAGAGAGAAAUCGGGAAGGUGCCGCCGACAGGAGCAAGUCAGAAGACCUGCCUAUGUAU
rnacentral:ncRNA from 1 species